rnacentral:lncRNA from 1 species
GGGGGGGGGGGGGGGGGGGGGGGGGGGGGGGGGGGGGGGGGGGGGGGGGGCCGCUCUUCCGAUCUGUCAUUUCCUCUAGCUCAUGUCCGGCUAGGGGGGCUGCCAGGUACAGAGCUGGGGUCUGACCACAAGGGGGAAGGGGUCACUAGCUGCCCGUAACAACCCGAGGUCUUCCGCACGCACUGUCCCUAUCUCUCUACACUGGUCUGUACUGGUCCAUACUGGUCCAUACUGGUCUAUACUGGUCCAUACUGAUCCAUACUGGUCCAUAUUGGUCUAUACUGGUUUUUACUGGUCUAUACUGCUCAAUACUGGUUUGUACUGGUCCAUACUGGCCCAAAAUCUCCGAGCGGCCAGAAUUUCACAGAGGCCCCUGCUCGAACUUUCUGCUUCCCAAAUCCUCCUGAGUGACUCCAACCCAGCACUCUUUCCAUCCCAAGGCAGAUAAAAAUCAGCUGGGGCCGAGCAGGGCCCAUCUACAGCUCUGUGUUUAUUUUUAAUCGGGUGGCUCAAAACUGAGUCGGGCCCCACCAGUUCCUGGAAAUUUAAUCCACAAUCCCUUCCUUCUCUGGAGCUACCGAGCAGCAGCUCCCUGACCCCAGAGGCAGAGCCCUGUCCGUGCAGCUGGGACACAGCCUCGGGAUUUGCUGCCUCUGCCGCUGGAAAAGCUGCAAAACCCAAGGGAAACGCUCCAGCAUCGCCGCCGCCUCCUCAGUCACGGCCCCGAUUUUCAGCAGCUCCUCCUCGUCCUCGUCCCCCAGCUCGCCCCGGGCCAGCGCCGGCCCCGCCUCGGCUUUCCGGGCCACCCGCAGCUCCUCCAGGGCCGCCCGAGCCCGGCCCAGCUCGGCCUCGGCCGCGGCCAGCGCGGCGGGGACGCCGCUCGGGGUCCCCAAGGCUCUGGCCAGGACCAGCAGCGCCCCCAGGGCCCGGGGGCGAGCGGCGCUGGCCCGGGCCAGCUCGGGGGGAGGGGCGGGGGGGGGGGGGGGGGGGGGGGGGGGGGGGGGGGGGGGGGGGGGGGGGGGGGGGGGGGGGGGGGGGGGGGGGGGGGGGGGGGGGGGGG